GACGAACCGUGCGAACGUUGUUCGGAAUCACUGGGCUUAAAGGGCGCGUAGGCGGCGGGUCAAGUCCGGGGUGAAAGCCCCCAGCUCAACUGGGGAAGUGCCCCGGAUACUGAUUCGCUCGAGGGAGGUAGGGGCGGAUGGAACUUCCGGUGGAGCGGUGAAAUGCGUUGAUAUCGGAAGGAACGCCGGUGGCGAAAGCGAUCCGCUGGCCCUCUACUGACGCUGAGAAGCGAAAGCGUGGGGAGCAAACAGG
rnacentral:rRNA from 1 species